UCAGGCUUCAUGCCUCACAGCAGAAGAAAUGAACAGAAAUGGGCAGAACCUCUUCUCCAACAUUUUCUACAUUAUAAUGAAGGGAAAAAAUUGGAUGCUGUGAUUGGACAAGCAUGGUGCCGGCACAUCUUACAGAAAGAAGACUCACUAACUGUAUUAACAUUCCCCCAUCGCCAAUCUCUGAAGACAAUGGCACCUCCAUCUCACUCUGUCAGCGGAGGGACUCGCCUACUUCAUAAGGUGAAAAAGUUUACCAUGAAGAAAUCUUCAUCACAUGAACCUUCAAGUCCACAAAUGCAGAGCAUCUCGAGGUGGUUGCAAAAAUAGCAGCUCACCAGGUGACACGAAAAGACGUGAAGGGUCCAUGACGAUGAAAUUACUUCAGCAGUCACUCUGUUGACAACGAGCC